UUGUGUAUUGCGACAUUCUGAUGACCAUUUAUUAGAUAAGAUUACUAAGUGUGAAUAUAGGGUAGUAGGUCUUGGCACUAGGUGCCAACAGUCUUAUUGCACAUUUUCGUGUGACGAGACCAAAAUAUAUUUUGAAACAAAUUAAACACUUUUCGGGAUUUUGUUAACUAUAAUAAUAAGGGAAAGUUAUGUGGUUAUUUUGUAAAGCUCUGCAUGAACCGCCAAAAAAAACGAUAUUGAAAUGCAUAACGUUAAAAAUUAAUUCAGUGGAAUAUAAUGCAGAGACGAAAAAAAAGGAAAUAAUGGACUGACUUUUAUGUUAAAAUGCCUCAGAAACCUCCUGCCCCCUUAAAAGACACUUAAUGGCGAAACCAUACCGAUUUAUUUAAGGAGACCGACGAGGAUGUAAAGUUAACGGUAAGUCCAAAAUAAAAAAAAUCUCAUACGAAACCAGCGAUGAAGAACUUACAUCAUCAAUAGUUAAAAUUGUACAAAGACGCAGUUCAUUGGGUGCAGAAACAAUAAACUCCCUAUUAUGCGUCAAGCUGACCGAUUUAUUAAAUAGUUUUUUUUUUUUUCAUAAAAUGAAUCUGGUGGGU